AGCCAGACUCCUACGGGAGGCAGCAGUGGGGAAUAUUGCACAAUGGGGGAAACCCUGAUGCAGCGACGCCGCGUGAGCGAUGAAGUAUUUCGGUAUGUAAAGCUCUAUCAGCAGGGAAGAAGAUGACGGUACCUGACUAAGAAGCACCGGCUAAAUACGUGCCAGCAGCCGCGGUAAUACGUAUGGUGCAAGCGUUAUCCGGAUUUACUGGGCGUAAAGGGAGCGCAGGCGGCGCGCCAAGUCUGAUGUGAAAUCCUGCGGCUUAACCGCAGAACUGCAUUUGAAACUGUUGAUCUUGAGUACUGGAGAGGCAGACGGAAUUCCUAGUGUAGCGGUGAAAUGCGUAGAUAUUAGGAGGAACACCAGUGGCGAAGGCGGUCUGCUGGACAGCAACUGACGGUGAGGCGCGAAAGCGUGGGGGGCAAACAGGAUUAGAUACCCUUGUACAC
rnacentral:rRNA from 1 species